rnacentral:rRNA from 1 species
GACGAACGCUGGCGGCGUGCCUAAUACAUGCAAGUAGAACGCAGUUGCGAACGGGUGAGUAACUCGUAGGUAACUGCCUCAUCUCUGGUGAUAACUAUUGUAUACGAUAGCUAAUACCUCAUACUGUGAUAUGGACCUGCGUUGUAUUAGCUAGUUGGUGAGGUAAAGGCUCCCCAAGUCGACGAUACAUAGCCGCCGUGAGAGGGGGAUAGGCGAAACUGGGACGGAGACACGGACAAGACUCAUACGGGAGGCAGCAGUAGGGAUGAUUCGGCAAUGGAAGGAAGUCUGAGCGAGAAACGCCGCGUGAGUGAGGAAGGUUGUCGGAUCAUAAAGCGCUGUGGUUAGAGAAGCGGUAACUAACCAGAAAGGGACGGCUAACUACGUGCCAGCAGCCGCGGUAAUAC